CAUGAAUUAAGUGUGCUUUAUUAUUAUUUUUGCAAAAAUCAAAUUAUUAAUAAGCCUAUUUGUAAAUUAAUGUUUAUAUACAUGCUUGUAAUUUAUAGUUUUUAAAUUUAAAUUUUAAAUAGAUCUUCCAUCCAACACUUUAUUGUUUAAAGUAAUUGUGUAGUAUAAAUGUGCUAAAACUAUGUUUUUUAGACGAUUAAAACUAUCUCACACAAGGUGUUUUUUACCGGCGUUUUUUUUAAAUAAAAAUGAACACGAUAUAGAAGGAACAGAAGUCUUGGUUGUAAAAAAAGUCGGUGGUUGGCAAGGUGUUUUGAACGCAUUUGCUACAGACGAAGAUGGUAAUCCAUCUGCAGAUGUAAGAGCUAUAUUUUCAACAAUAUGUUACAGCAGUUUGAUGGGUGGUGUGUAUGGUAGUUUAUCCUACAGUAAACGAGCUUAUGAAGAUUUUUUUCAGAAAAACCAAUCAACACUGUUUCAAAAUCAGUUUGAAGCCAAAGCUAAACUACAAUCUCAAGUAACAUUGGCAAUGGCAAGAGGCGUUUUUAAAUGGGGAACCAGAGUAGCACUGUUCUGCGGUUGUUUUUCAACUGUAGUAACAGCUGUUAAUGCAUAUACACAAAACGUUACUGUAUUUAGUUAUGCAUUAGGUGGUCUUAUAGUAGGUGGAAUUUCAAGAAUAAGUUUUGGUAUGAAAGGUUUUAUUGUUGGAUCUACAUUGGGAGGUGUUUUAGGUAUCAUUGUUGGAGGCUUUACAUUAUUAAUAUUAAGGUUUUCUUCUUUAACUAUGGAUGAAGUAAAAGAAUGGCAAAAUCAAAGUCAAAUAGAAAGAGACCUGUAUUUUAUCAAAGAACAAAAAACAUCUCGGAUAUUCAAAUAUGAUAAUACACCUGAGCUACAAGCACAUGAAAAAAGAUUACAACCGUCAGAAACAAUUUCAGAAUAAAGAAUUGCUAUUAUAAUUUAUGAAUGAAGUGUAUUGUCAUAUGUUGGGAGCACUCCAUAUAGUUCUUCAUUACCAGCCUUCGUCAUAGUGAAAAAUUGAUGUUUCAAAGAUCUUGGAGAAUCUUUUAUUGCAGUCUACUAAUCCUUUAAAUUCAAUAGAACACACCAAUUCUGCGCAUCUCCAUGCAACAACCUGCCAUUGAGACCAGUUUCACUAUAGAGAUGCGUGAGAAUGCACAGAAAAACUGAUUUUUGUCGGGCCAUAGAUUUCUGGACAGAGUAUAUGACUGGUUAAAAUUUACAGAAUGAUGAUAAAUGAUAAUUGAUAUUGAAAAAUUUAAAAAUCCCAGGUUCAUCAAUCUACCUAAAUCUAUAUUGUUUUUCCUGAAUAAUAUUAAAACAUCUUUAAUUAUUGUGUGUGCAUUAAAAACAUAGCAUUAUACUGGAAUGUCAUUUCAAUAAUCAACAAUUUAAAAAUGCAAA